GUGGGGAAUCUUGCGCAAUGGGCGAAAGCCUGACGCAGCCAUGCCGCGUGAAUGAUGAAGGUCUUAGGAUUGUAAAAUUCUUUCACCGGGGACGAUAAUGACGGUACCCGGAGAAGAAGCUCCGGCUAACUUCGUGCCAGCAGCCGCGGUAAUACGAAGGGUGCAAGCGUUGUUCGGAAUUACUGGGCGUAAAGCGUAUGUAGGCGGCAAGUUAAGUUCAAUGUUAAAGCCCACGGCUCAACCGAGGAGAUGCAUUGAAUACUGGCUAGCUAGAGGGUGUUAGAGGAAGACGGAAUUCCCAGUGUAGCGGUGAAAUGCGUAGAUAUUUGGAGGAACAUCGGUAGCGAAAGCGGUCUUCUGGGACAUACCUGACGCUGAGGUACGAAAGCGUGGGGAGCAAACGGGAUUAGAAACCCGUGUAGUCC
rnacentral:rRNA from 1 species